UACGUAGGGACCAAGCGUUGUUCGGAUUUACUGGGCGUAAAGGGCGCGUAGGCGGCCCUACAAGUCACUUGUGAAAUCUCCGGGCUUAACUCGGAACGGCCAAGUGAAACUGUAGAGCUAGAGUGUGGAAGGGGCAAUCGGAAUUCUUGGUGUAGCGGUGAAAUGCGUAGAUAUCAAGAGGAACACCUGAGGUGAAGACGGGUUGCUGGGCCAACACUGACGCUGAGGCGCGAAAGCCAGGGGAGCAAACGGGAUUAGAAACCCGUUAGUCC
rnacentral:rRNA from 1 species